rnacentral:lncRNA from 1 species
UUUUUUUUUUUUAAGAUUUUAUUUUUUAUUUUAUUUUAUUUUUUAAGAUUUUAUUUUAAUUAUUUAUUCAUGAGGGACACACAGAGAGAGGCUGGGCCCCAACCCGAGGGGAGCUUGAUGCGGGACGCGAUCCCAGGACCCUGGGAUCACGACCUGAGCCAAAGGCAGACACCGAGCCACCCAGUGCCUCUUGAAUUUGAUUUUAAUGACUUUUGAGAUGGAACCUCUAUUCAGACCAUCCACACCUUUUGGGACGUUGCUCCCUGUUCCCGGCACAUCAGGCAAUGCUCAGAAUGAGCUCCCUGUCUGCAAACUGCAGACAAAGAGUAUCCCCCUGUGGCCAUCAUUCACCCACACGUGUUGAGCCACCCACAGAGACCCUGCAGGCCCCAAGAAUGGAGAGAUUAAGGUGACCCAGGGGCAUCCUGAGGGCAGACGUCACAGUAGGAUGUGGGGCGGCCAGCUUUGUCCCCACUGCACCUUUGAUUUGGAUCUCCAGAAUGGCACCGCUGGGGCGCUGUCAUCCAUGCCUUCAGCGAAAUGGAUGCAGAAUCUGCCUCCAGGAAGAGGUAAGCCCUCAGCUGGCAAAAAGAAGGAACUGGAAGGUGUGUGUGAACAUGUGAGCCUCAUGGGCUCCUGACCAAGCUGGGGCUUACAAGUGGCAUUUAGGCCAAUCCUCCUGUCUCAGCACAGAAGUCAACUCCCAUCCCAAGAGCCAGGCUGUUGGGCUUGCAGUCUUAAGUGGAAGCAGGACUCCCAUCUCACUCUCCAGUGAGAUUUCUCCCUGGAACCUGGGAAGGUGCUGCAAGAUAUGCUAAUGAGCGCAGGUUUGACGACACCUCCUUGAUGAGGAGUUUGUGCCAAGGGCACCCACCCUAUCAACUUCCAGGUUGUAAAAACAAAGGUCCGCGUGGCACGUGCUGGAAAUAAGGACCCCCCCAAAUAAAGGGAGCGUUUCCCUGUAAAAUGGUAACAUUUACACCCUCUACAACGUAAGGGAGGCAGCGCUUCACGGAGGCCAGCUCAACAUUCCCAGUGAAGGAUGAAGCCUUCAUGUCAGUCAUCAGCCUCUGAGCCCCAGGCCUUCGAGGACAGUGGAGGAGGC